UACAUCAGAGUUUCCCAAAUUAUAUUUCGCAAAACACAGGUCCCAUAAGACAUUUUUUCAAAAAGCAGCCUGGGGCAGCAGUGUAGGAAAAGCUGCCCACCACACCCAGUGGUGGAGAGUCACAAGGCACAGCAGCAUAUGAAGGGUUCUGAGAAGCUGUACCUUCAAAACACUGAUAGCAGCAUUUCUCAAACGAGUUUGACCAUGAAACCCUCUCUUCUAGUUUCACCUACUAACAUCUGCUGAUUCACUUAGCAUUCUGAGGUACAAACUUUUGAAACAUUAGAAUAAACGAUCUCUUAAACGCAUUGAUUUUAUAGCAUCUUAAAGCAGAAAAUAGUCUUAGAAAUCAGAGGGCCAUGAGGUUAAGAUCUCAUAGCUAGUCAAUGGCCAAACUAGGUCCCUUUCAGUUGCCAAUUUUUCACAUUCUAUGUGCUAACAAUCACAGUGAAUGAAAUUUUACUGUGAGGAAGUUUAGAAAAAGUGUCAGUAAUUGAAAUCUACAGAUAAUCUUAAAGCUCCAGGGUUUCCACUUUUGGUAAAACUCUGUUGUUUAAAGUUACUCCUGAUGAAGCAAAACUAAUGGUGUGUGUCCAUAGGCUGGUGGAGAUGCUACCGAGCAGAGAAUUAUCCACAAUUCAAGAAGCUAAUGAGAAUGGGGGAAGGAGAAACAAAUGGCACUGAGUCCAAAGCCAAGUUCAACGUCUCUCCAUCUGUUUGAGAGAAAGACAAGUCAGAAUUUUCCUGGAUUCAGCCCCAUGACCUCUCCAGAAAUUCCAACAUAACUGAACACGAUAUGAAUAUCUAUAUGCAUUUGACACUGAAACAGAUAGUAGUUUUCAUUGGUUGCUUCUACAGCCUUGUUGCUUCCUGUCUUCUCUAUUUCUAAGAGGACCCUGUGAUUUAGGGUGUCCCAGGAGUUUCAGAAAGACAUUUUACAACCACAUGAGGCUGGUCUGUUGAAAUCAGUGUUACUUUGAGGAGGCAUUGCUAAGAAACCAAGAGAGAGAAACCAGGUCCUGGGAAUGUCAUUUGAGCUGCUGGAUCACUCACCUGUCGCUAGCUCUAGAUCUGGUUAUUUUAGUAUAUGAUUAAGUAAAUAUUUGUAUUAUUUAAGCCAUUUAGUAUUCUAUUAUUUACUGCCACACGUAUCUCAAUACCUCUUAUGAUGCUGAUUGUGAGUUUCAUAAAUUUUGACUUUGCCUUUGGAUCAAAGUCCAUUUUAAAGUUGGUUCCAAAAGGCUUUUCUUUUUUUUUUUUUUUUUUUUGGUGGUACGCAGGCCUCUCACUGCUGUGGCCUCUCCCGCCGCAGAGCACAGGCUCCGGACACGCAGGCCCAGCGGCCAUGGCUCAUGGGCCCAGCCGCUCCAUGGCAUGUGGGAUCUUCCCGGACUGGGGCACGAACCCAUGUCCCCUGCAUCGGCAGGCGGACUCUCAACCACUGCGCCACCAGGGAAGCCCCAGAAGGCUUUCUUUAAUCACUCAUUCUAACAAGAAACUCUACCCAAAGCACAUAGUACUUACUGUGUAUGUGCCUUAUUUGACACAAAAUCCUACAUAGCAAUGCCCAGGCUAAUGAAAUGAAUGAAUUUCACUAACAUAUUUUAUUGUCAAAAACUUUAUUAUUAGAGAAAUAAAUAAUACAAGUGUAUUAGAAUAGAUUCCUUCCAAUCCACCCUAUAUUAAAUUUCAUGUAGCCAUUUUUUGGUAUUAUCAUGUAAUUUUUAUUUAAUUUUUACAUUCAGUGGAGAUAUGCAAAAUAUUUAACAAUCAGUUUGGCAUAAGCACUUGACCAAUCAGAUUGGAUGUCUGACCAAUCCGAAUUAAAAGCCAACCAAUCAGAACAGACACCUGACCCAUCAGAAAAGAUGAAGUGUGUGUCUGCCAGAUAUCUGCCUCCCAUUUAUCAUUGAACUUUUCGCUUGUGGGAUCUCCCCUCAGUUACCUGGGAAGCAAACUGAGGGCAGGGACCACAUGAUAGAUACCU